UACGUAGGGGGCAAGCGUUGUUCGGAAUUACUGGGCGUAAAGGGCGCGUAGGCGGCAUGGCAAGUCAGGAGUGAAAGGCCUGGGCUCAACCGAGGAACUGCUUUUGAUACUGCCAAGCUAGAGUGCGGAAGGGGCAACUGGAAUUCCCAGUGUAGCGGUGAAAUGCGUAGAUAUCGGGAAGAACACCAGUGGCGAAAGCGCUCUACUGGGCCAUAACUGACACUGAGGGACGAAAGCUAGGGGAGCGAAAGGG
rnacentral:rRNA from 1 species